GACGAACGCUGGCGGCGUGCUUAACACAUGCAAGUCGAACGGAAAGGCCCUGCUUUUGUGGGGUGCUCGAGUGGCGAACGGGUGAGUAACACGUGAGUAACCUGCCCUUGACUUUGGGAUAACUUCAGGAAACUGGGGCUAAUACCGGAUAGGAGCUCCUGCUUCAUGGUGGGGGUUGGAAAGUUUCGGCGGUUGGGGAUGGACUCGCGGCUUAUCAGCUUGUUGGUGGGGUAGUGGCUUACCAAGGCUUUGACGGGUAGCCGGCCUGAGAGGGUGACCGGCCACAUUGGGACUGAGAUACGGCCCAGACUCCUACGGGAGGCAGCAGUGGGGAAGAUUGCACAAUGGGCGGAAGCCUGAUGCAGCAACGCCGCGUGCGGGAUGACGGCCUUCGGGUUGUAAACCGCUUUCGCCUGUGACGAAGCGUGAGUGACGGUAAUGGGUAAAGAAGCACCGGCUAACUACGUG
rnacentral:rRNA from 1 species